AACGUAGGUCACAAGCGUUGUCCGGAAUUACUGGGUGUAAAGGGAGCGCAGGCGGGAAGACAAGUUGGAAGUGAAAUCCAUGGGCUCAACCCAUGAACUGCUUUCAAAACUGUUUUUCUUGAGUAGUGCAGAGGUAGGCGGAAUUCCCGGUGUAGCGGUGGAAUGCGUAGAUAUCGGGAGGAACACCAGUGGCGAAGGCGGCCUACUGGGCACCAACUGACGCUGAGGCUUGAAAGUGUGGGUAGCAAACAGG
rnacentral:rRNA from 1 species